rnacentral:rRNA from 1 species
AAUGCACGCAAGUGCGAUGGGGGGACUCCGAGUGCAGUCUUCCAAAACGGAAGGCCGCUUUUCUGCACUUUAAGCAGGUGCCGAAACAAGGGGUGGGCAAGACGGCUGCCAGCCGCCGCGGUAAUAGCCGCACCCCGAGUGGUAGUCAUUGUUAUUGGGCUUAAAGUGUUCGUAGCCGGACACACAAGUCUGCUGUGAAAUCCAUGCGCUUAACGUAUGGACAUGCAGCGGAUACUGUGUGUCUAGGAACCGGACGGCGUCGAGGCUAUUCCCGGGGUAGGGGUGAAAUCCUAAAAUCCUGGGAGGAGCACCUGUGGCGAAAGCGCUCGACGAGUACGGAUUCGACGGUGAGGAACGAAAGCCAGUGGAGCAAAGCGGAUUAGAUACCCGCGUAGUACUGGCUGUAAACAUUGUGCGUUUGAUGUCGGACAACCUCCGAGGUUGUCCGGUGCCGAAGUGAAAACGUUAAACGCACCGCCUGGGGAGUACGGUCGCAAGGCUGAAACUUAAAGGAAUUGGCA